rnacentral:rRNA from 1 species
CCUACGGGUGGCAGCAGUGGGGAAUAUUGGACAAUGGGCGAAAGCCUGAUCCAGCAAUGCCGCGUGAGUGAUGAAGGCCUUCGGGUUGUAAAGCUCUGUCGGGAGGGACGAAAAAGCGGCCUAACAACCCGCGUUGACGGUACCUCCAAAGGAAGCACCGGCUAACUCUGUGCCAGCAGCCGCGGUAAUACAGAGGGUGCAAGCGUUGUUCGGAAUUACUGGGCGUAAAGCGCGUGUAGGCGGCGUCGUAAGUCGGAUGUGAAAUCCCUCGGCUUAACCGAGGAAGUGCAUUCGAUACUGUGAUGCUUGAGUACCGGAGGGGAUGGCGGAAUUCCCGGUGUAGAGGUGAAAUUCGUAGAUAUCGGGAGGAACACCUGUGGCGAAGGCGGCCAUCUGGACGGUAACUGACGCUGAGACGCGAAAGCGUGGGUAGCAAACAGGAUUAGAUACCCUAGUAGUC